rnacentral:rRNA from 1 species
UACGUAGGGGGCAAGCGUUGUCCGGAAUCAUUGGGCGUAAAGAGCGCGUAGGCGGUCCGGUAAGUCCGCUCUGAAAGUCCGGGGCUCAACCCCGGGAGGCGGGCGGAUACUGUCGGGCUAGAGUCCGGAAGAGGCGAGUGGAAUUCCUGGUGUAGCGGUGAAAUGCGCAGAUAUCAGGAGGAACACCUAUUGCGAAGGCAGCUCGCUGGGACGUUACUGACGCUGAGACGCGAAAGCGUGGGGAGCAAACAGG